rnacentral:tRNA from 1 species
GGGGGUGUGAUCCAGUUGGUAGCGUGCUUGCCUAAUAUUCAUGAAGCCUGAGUUCAAUUCUCAGCACUUUCU